CCCAGCACAGGCGGCUCCGAAAGGGGACAGCGGCAGCUGUAUCUCUCUCUGCUCCACCUCUCUCACCCAGUUGGGUCCUAAGAGGUUUCGUUGGAGCAUCCCUAAAGACCGGGACCCCCGCGGCGGGGGGGUCCCGGCGCGGCCCACGGGGCCCCGGGGCCGCCAGACCUCCUUCCAGUUCUCCAGAAAGUCAUCCAGGCUGUCGGUACGAAGCCUGCCCAGCCCCACGGGCCUGGAGAGGAGGGGGGGGGACCUCUACAGGGACCCCGGCUCACCCGACCCCGGGGCCCUGAGCCAGAAGGGCCCCCUGGAGGACCCCGGCCCCGUUCGCCCAGAUCCAGGAGGGCACCGUCGCCCAGAGCCAUGCGGGCCCCUGGCAGGCGGGCCCCCAGGAGGCCGACCUGCAGGGCCUGGCCGGGGGGCUGCCUUAGACCUUUCAAGCCUGCAGCUGAGCACACGCAGUAGAAAGAAACCAAUGACAGUCCAGACAACCAAUCCCACGACCAAUCACAGAGCUCAGGCACCGCCCCACAGCCUGUGAUUGGCUACUGAGUUCCCCCAUCACUCUAUGUGGAAGUCGAUAGGAUUUGAACUUGAGGGAAACUUGUGUUUUAAGUGCAAAAUGCUACACAAUAUUUUUGAAUGUACAAAUUAUUCCUGUUCUAGUUUGUGGACUGAUUGUGUGAUAUUAGUAUUUUGAUCAUCGCCAUUAGGUUAUUGUUGGCUUAUUGUUGU
ensembl:lncRNA